AGUGUGGAAAUUCUUACUCAGAACACAAAGGAUUGAAGAGAACUCGGAGGCUGAACUCUGGAAGGACUCUUGCCCGACUCCUCUUGGCAGAGAUGGCUCUGGUUUCUCGGAGCGGUGGUAUGGCCAACAGGUGGGUGUUGCCCAGGAAAUUGUUUUUUCUGCUUUCUCAGUAGCUAUGGGCCAUGGGGAACACUGCCAUUUCCGGCCUUCUCUGCAUUAUUUGAUGAGAAUGCAGGUGAACUGCCCUGUGGUUUAAUUCCAAUGGCAGAGCAGUUAGCAUUUGCUGGUUUUUCUUGUCCCAGUGGGAACGCUGGUUUGCAUCUCACUGUACUUCCCUUGAGAUGUUGUGUGGGGUCCUUUAACCUGCAACGUGCCCCUCUGAGUGACGCCCACCCAGAUUCCAAUCAGAUCUAAACCAAUGGUCUCAGCCUUGAGAGCUACCUGUGUGUGUAAAGGCCUACAAGUGCUGCCCACACCAGCAAUAUCAGCUGAAGAGUGUUUUCAAGGGACAUCAUUUCAAUGAUCCGUGACAUCUGUUUCUUUUCUGAGUUUUUCCCUGCACAGCUAAUGCAAUGAUUGUUUUUAAAUUAGAACCUCUUUUUUUCUGUCAUUCCUGUUAUUUCUUAUGUGAGGUCGAUUCUAACAUAAUAGCAAACAGUGGACGCACAUUUCCUAGACAAAGUCAUGAUUUUAUGAAGACAGGAAAGGGCUUAUGAUAAUUUCUGUGAAAUCCAUGUUUGAUCGUUCUUCUCCUUUCUCAGCUGAGAGGUGAGUUCUGACAGUGCUCAGUACAAAAAAGAUAAGGUUGUGAUUUUCUUUUUUACAUUUUAACUAUUUUUAAAUCUUUACUAUGGAACCAAAGCAGGCAGAAGUGGAAUAACUCAACAUACCCUAGAUAGCUACCUCCAAGGCUCCGUGUUGAUCAACCUUUGGCCAAUUCUGCCUCUUCUGAUCUCCAUCCACUAGCUGACUCCAGAUUCCUUUGGAGCAUAUCUUAGACAUCCUGUCAUUUCACACCUAAGUUUUGUACUAUGUGGCUCUAGAAGAUAAACAUUCCCUUGAAAAGUCUAUCUCUACUUUUUAAAUGGAGAAACAUGUGGAACAUUUUCAGAGAGGAUUGAGAGAAGGGUGAUUCUCUCUUUAAUUAAAAAUUGAUUAAACUAAGCCACAUUAAUUGUUACUAGGACAGACGUAUUAGGAAUAGGAAUGGGAAUAGAUACAAUUAAAGUCAUUCAGAAGGAUAUGUUGUAAUUUUUUAGUCACUUGUUAAAAUCAAGGCUUUAUUCUGCAGACACAAUUAUUCACUUGGUUCAGAAUUCUAUACGUUGAAUGUAUCUCACCAGAGGUAAGCUCAGGUCCAACUGAUUGACUUUUCCAUUUGCGUGACGGUGGGUUAGUCAUGUUAGCUUUGUCUAGAUGUCUCCAAGCAUUUUUGACUGCAUACUUCUAUCAGUAAAGAAUUAAGCGUGUAUCCAUAGUAUGAAUUAUUAUUUAGAAAUCGUCUGUAUACUCUAUUAUGGUGGUAAGUGAAGUAUAUUGUAAACCACAUAUAAAAUAGAAACUAAAGAAUUAACUGAUAAAUAGGUUAUCUGCAGGUCUAAUAGGUACAGCAGGUCUAAUAUUUUCUUCCUGCCCUCAGUGGAUAUUCUUGUGCGUGCCCCAAUUUGAAGACAACUGGAGAAGGCAGUGCUAGGCAAUAUACAUCAUAGCGAGGUAUCAGUUGUCAAGCAGGACUGCCUGGGUUUGAAUCCUGGUGCCACUGCUCCUUAGCUGUGUGAUUUUGUACACAUCACUUAGCUCCUCUAAAUCUGUCCUCUCAUUUGUAAUACGAAGGCAUUCAUGCCUUAUAGGGUAUCGUAAGGUUUAAUCCUUGCACAGUGCCCAUUGUGUGGUAAGCAUUCAAUACAUUUUAGCUAAUAAUGAUGACGAUGAUAAUGCAGUCCUAGAGGGCUGGACCAAGGUUUGGCUUCCUCUUUUUACAGAGUGCCUGGCACACACUUAUUGGCACUUAUUUCAGUGUUCGGUGUGCUGAUGGUGGUGUGGGUGAUGACAGUUACGGGGAUGGUCAUACUGAUGAUCAAAAACACAGCGUACGUAUCGUCACUCGCUCGAUUUUAUUUGCAUUGAUGAUGAUGGUGACAGUAUGAUGACGGUUACAGGGACGGUCACAUUGAGAGUGGUGAAUAUGACCAACAGCAGAAGCCCUUUUGCAUUCCCUACUGGAACUACAUCAUCAGUGUUUGCGUUUGUCUUUCCUAAGAAUUUACCCAUCUGACAAAUAUGUUGACUAACUUGUUUUGCUGUCUCCCUUCCUGGCCUCUCUGCCCUGUUGAUCUGUUGUGCUGUUCUGCCCUCCUCUUGUGCUCUCGUGUCUCCAUCUCUCUGUAGAGC
rnacentral:lncRNA from 1 species